GACGAACGCUGGCGGCGUGCCUAAUACAUGCAAGUCGAACGAGAGCGACCGGUGCUUGCACUGGUCAAUCUAGUGGCGAACGGGUGAGUAACACGUGGGUAACCUGCCCAUCAGAGGGGGAUAACAUCCGGAAACGGAUGCUAAAACCGCAUAGGUCUUCGAACCGCAUGGUUUGAAGAGGAAAAGAGGCGCACGCUUCUGCUGAUGGAUGGACCCGCGGUGCAUUAGCUAGUUGGUGAGGUAACGGCUCACCAAGGCCGUGAUGCAUAGCCGACCUGAGAGGGUGAUCGGCCACAUUGGGACUGAGACACGGCCCAAACGCCUACGGGAGGCAGCAGUAGGGAAUCUUCCGCAAUGGACGCAAGUCUGACGGAGCAACGCCGCGUGAGUGAAGAAGGUUUUCGGAUCGUAAAACUCUGUUGUUAGGGAAGAACAAGUGCUAGAGUAACUGUUAGCGCCUUGACGGUAUCUAACCAGAAAGCCACGGCUAACUACGUG
rnacentral:rRNA from 1 species